CGGAUGUAGCCAAGUGGAUCAAGGCAGUGGAUUGUGAAUCCACCCAUGCGCGGGA
rnacentral:tRNA from 1 species